UUCAAGGACCUUGGAUGCUCUAAAGGAUGAAAAGAUCUGGAGGAGGAAAAGGAGAGGAGAAGCUCUAGAGAAAAUAAAAUCAAUAAGAGAAAACCAAGAAGGGGCAUCCAAGAUUGGAGCCCCCUUUAAAUAGACAAGGGCUAGGGUUUUGAUCCAAGGGAGAGGGCGCUAAUUGAGUCCAAGCCAAACACCUUUUGGGCAUC
rnacentral:lncRNA from 1 species